rnacentral:misc_RNA from 1 species
AAGUCGUAACAAGGUUUCCGUAGGUGAACCUGCGGAAGGAUCAUUAAUGAAUAUCUAUGGCGUUGGUUGUUGCUGGCUUCUAGGAGCACUGUGCACACCCGUCAUUUUUAUCUUUCCACCUGUGAACUUAAUGUAGAUCUGGAUAACUCUCGCUUACCCAAGCGGAAGCAAGGAUUGCCGCGUCGCAAGGCCGGCUCUCUUUGAAUUUCCAGGUCUAUGUCUUUAUACACCCCAAUUGAAUGAUAACGAAUGUAGUCAAUGGGCUCUAAGCCUAUAAAACACAAUACAACUUUUAGCAACGGAUCUCUUGGCUCUC